UACGUAGGGGCCUAGCGUUGUCCGGAUUUAUUGGGCGUAAAGAGCUCGUAGGCGGCUUGGUAAGUCAGGUGUGAAAUCUCCACGCUCAACGUGGAGGGGCCACCCGAAACUGCCAUGGCUUGAGUCCGGUAGGGGAGUGUGGAAUUCCCGGUGUAGCGGUGAAAUGCGCAGAUAUCGGGAGGAACACCAAUGGCGAAGGCAGAUCUCUGGGCCGUAACUGACGCUGAGGAGCGAAAGCAUGGGGAGCGAACAGG
rnacentral:rRNA from 1 species